rnacentral:rRNA from 1 species
GGGCGCAAGCCUGAUGCAGCCAUGCCGCGUGUGUGAAGAAGGCCUUCGGGUUGUAAAGCACUUUCAGUCGUGAGGAAGGUGGUGGUGUUAAUAGCACUAUUAUUUGACGUUAGCGACAGAAGAAGCACCGGCUAACUCCGUGCCAGCAGCCGCGGUAAUACGGAGGGUGCGAGCGUUAAUCGGAAUUACUGGGCGUAAAGCGCAUGCAGGUGGUUUGUUAAGUCAGAUGUGAAAGCCCGGGGCUCAACCUCGGAAUAGCAUUUGAAACUGGCAGACUAGAGUACUGUAGAGGGGGGUAGAAUUUCAGGUGUAGCGGUGAAAUGCGUAGAGAUCUGAAGGAAUACCGGUGGCGAAGGCGGCCCCCUGGACAGAUACUGACACUCAGAUGCGAAAGCGUGGGGAGCAAACAGGAUUAGAUACCCUGGUAGUCCACGCCGUAAACGAUGUCUACUUGGAGGUUGUGGCCUUGAGCCGUGGCUUUCGGAGCUAACGCGUUAAGUAGACCGCCUGG